CUGACUAUUGCAGCUGAAAAUGCGUGCCAAGUCUGCAGACACAGAGGAAUAACUUUUCCAUGUAGGUUGAGCUUGUCUAAGCUUUUGUGGUACAAAGAAGCACGGCAAGGUGAUGGAACAGCUUGUCCUAGAUGCCAUGGCCAAGCAGUUGGAGAAGAAGAAGAUCAUCAGGAAUAGUCAGCAUGGAUUUAGCAAGGGGAAAGUGUGCUUGAGCAACCUCCUAGGCUUCUGUGAGGCAUCAGCAGCUAUAUAGAUGGCGGGAGAGCAAUGGAUGUAGUCUACGUUGACUUCAGCACUGCUUUUGAUGCAGUCUCCCACGACAUCCUGGCCUCAGCUGGAGUACUGCAUCCAGGUCUGGGCUCCUUGGUACAAAACAGACGGGGAUCUCCUGGAGAGAGUCCAGCAGAAGGCCACAAAGAUGAUCGAGGGCCUGGAGCAUCUCCCCAGUGUGGAAAGUCUGCGUGACCUGGGUCUGUUCAGCCUUGCGGAAAGAAGACUGAGAGGGGAUCUUAAUAAUGUUUCUAAGUAUCGGAAGCGUGGGAGUCAAAAGGACAUGGCCAGCCUUUUUGCAGUGGUCUGUGGGGUCAGGAGAGGGGGGAAAUGGCCCUAAACUGGAGUACAGGAAGUUCUGCACCGACGUGAGAAGGAACUUGUUCACAGUGAGGUGACGGAGCACUGGAACAGGCUGCCCAGGGAGGCUGUGGAUUCUCCUUCCCUGGAGAUACUCCAGACCCAGCUGGAUGCCCACCUGUGCAGCCUGCUGUAUGGAACCUGUUGAGCAGAGGGGGGA